rnacentral:rRNA from 1 species
AACGAACGCUGGCGGCAUGCCUAACACAUGCAAGUCGAACGAGACCUUCGGGCCUAGUGGCGCACGGGUGCGUAACGCGUGGGAACCUGCCCUUAGGUUCGGAAUAACUCCCCGAAAGGGGUGCUAAUACCGGAUAAUGUCUUCGGACCAAAGAUUUAUCGCCUUUGGAUGGGCCCGCGUUGGAUUAGCUAGUUGGUAGGGUAAAAGCCUACCAAGGCGACGAUCCAUAGCUGGUCUGAGAGGAUGAUCAGCCACACUGGGACUGAGACACGGCCCAGACUCCUACGGGAGGCAGCAGUGGGGAAUAUUGGACAAUGGGCGAAAGCCUGAUCCAGCAAUGCCGCGUGAGUGAUGAAGGCCUUAGGGUUGUAAAGCUCUUUUACCCGGGAUGAUAAUGACAGUACCGGGAGAAUAAGCACCGGCUAACUCCGUG